UACGGAGGGGACUAGCGUUGUUCGGAAAUACUGGGCGUAAAGCGCACGUAGGCGGCGCCGCAAGUCAGGGGUGAAAUCCCGGGGCUCAACCCCGGAACUGCCCUUGAAACUGCAGUGCUAGAAUCUUGGAGAGGUCAGUGGAAUUCCGAGUGUAGAGGUGAAAUUCGUAGAUAUUCGGAAGAACACCAGUGGCGAAGGCGACUGACUGGACAAGUAUUGACGCUGAGGUGCGAAAGCGUGGGGAGCAAACAGG
rnacentral:rRNA from 1 species